ACCCUCUCGGAAUAGCACCUGGAGAGUUUCCAAUACUCUACCAGUCGCGACUCCGGGAGGGAGAGUCAAGCAGAGGCUUACCCAUUCCAUCCCUAGCUUGGCCAGUGGCUAGUGAGUGGAAAGCCACCUGCUACAAGU